UACGGAGGUGGCGAGCGUUACUCGGAUUCAUUGGGUGUAAAGGGCAGGUAGGCGGACUGAAAAGUCUUAUUUGAAAUCCUUGGGCUUAACCCAAGAAGCGGAUAAGAAACUUUCAGUCUUGAGGCGGGAAGAGGAAGAUGGAAUUCCCGGUGUAAGGGUGAAAUCUGUAGAUAUCGGGAAGAACACCUGUGGCGAAGGCGAUCUUCUAUUUCCGUACUGACGCUCAAACUGCGAAAGCUAGGGGAGCAAACAGG
rnacentral:rRNA from 1 species